rnacentral:rRNA from 1 species
AGAGUUUGAUCCUGGCUCAGGAUGAACGCUAGCUACAGGCUUAACACAUGCAAGUCGAGGGGAAACGAUAUUGGAAGCUUGCUUCCGAUAGGCGUCGACCGGCGCACGGGUGAGUAACGCGUAUCCAACCUGCCCACCACUUGGGGAUAACCUUGCGAAAGUAAGACUAAUACCCAAUGACGUCUCUAGAAGACAUCUGAAAGAGAUUAAAGAUUUAUCGGUGAUGGAUGGGGAUGCGUCUGACUAGCUUGUUGGCGGGGUAACGGCCACCAAGGCUACGAUCAGUAGGGGUUCUGAGAGGAGGUCCCCCANAUUGGAACUGAGACACGGUCCAAACUCCGUACGGGAGGCA